rnacentral:lncRNA from 1 species
UUUCUAGGAUAAAGCCCUCCAAGGAUCACGACUGAAGAUGUGGAUGACUCCAAUUCUGUGUGUCAUGGACUCAAAUUUUUAUCUCCUCCAUAUGGUGUGCUGCUGAGUAUGCUGCUCACAGGAAUCAUAAAAAUUGUUUUCCAUGGGUCUUAGUACCAGGAACAUCUGUGCUUCUCCCGAAUAACUAAAACAUCAUGUGAAGACUGAGAUGCACAGAGAGAAUAUCAUGGGACAAUGGAGGCAGGGACUGGACUCAUGCAGCUGCAAGUCAAGGACUGCCAGAGACUGAUGGUGAUACUGUAACUAAGAGAAAGAACUCAGGAAACAGAAUCUCGCUCUUACCUUCCUUGUACUUGCCCAAAGGCAGGGCUCUAAACUUCCCAUGCCUUUCUGACUGUGGGUCUUAAGACCCUCUCCAGAGAGGAGUCCACCCUACAAUCUGGGAGAAGGAAUGCUGACAUCAUGAAGAUUCCAUAAGAGCCCGAGGCCUGGGUUUGAGGAGCUUCUACAAAGUGGAACACAUGGUGGUUUCUGGAGGAUGCUGUACUCAGGGAGGGCAUGGAAGGUCCACACCCCUUCCCCCAUACCUUGCCCUGUGUGUCACUUCAUCUGUAUCCUUUGUCAUAUCCUUUACAAUAAACUGGUAAGUGUAAGUGAUUCCUUGAGUUCUGUGCACUGCUCCAGCAAAUUAAUCCGACCCAAACAGGGGCUCAUGGGAACCCCAACUUGAAACCAGUGGGUCAGAAGUUCCAGAGGCUUGGACCUGUGACAAGCAUCUAAAGGGAGUGGGGCAAUCUUGGGGACUCAGCACCCAACAUGUGGGAUCUGACACUAUCUCUAGGUAGAUAGUGUGACAAUUGAAUUGGAGGACACUCCGCUGGUGUCUGCAGCUUGGUGUGUGGGGAAAAUACCAACACGUUUGGUCACAGCAGUCUGCUUCUGUAUUGGUGAUUGACUUGGCAGUGGGAGAACAGAGGAAAAACACAGUUGAUAGGAGCUUUUCUCUGAAACAACAUAAUGUCUUGUAAACUAUAAAGUAGAAUUUGUAAACAGUUAAGGUAAUCAGGUAAAAAAGAAAAAAAUGUCAUUUAAAGUGUUUAUAUAAAAAAGCUGUGUAGUCCAAAUAGAUUAUAUUAUCUCACAUAUAUAAAUCACAGAAAACAUCUAUACAGAUAUUAAGAAGUCUAAGUAUAUAAGGCUGAAAAAUAUGAUACUUUUGAUAGCAGAAUGAUGAAGGAGAUGGGGUAGAGUUAAUCAAUUACUAUUCCUUUUACAUAUAAAAUAUUGGAAAAAUUAAAAUACACAUAUAUUAAAUAGUUUACAUUAGAAUUUAUUUUAAAACAAAAUGUAUGGAUUAGUCUAUAUAGGAUUAUAUUAUGUUAAACAGGAUACUGUUUGCAUUCCUAACAGAAAUUCUUUGGGAA